UGGGGAAUAUUGCACAAUGGGGGAAACCCUGAUGCAGCGACGCCGCGUGAACGAAGAAGGUAUUCGUAUCGUAAAGUUCUGUCCUAUGGGAAGAUAAUGACAGUACCAUAGAAGAAAGCUCCGGCUAAAUACGUGCCAGCAGCCGCGGUAACACGUAUGGAGCGAGCGUUGUCCGGAAUUAUUGGGCGUAAAGGGUACGCAGGCGGUUUAAUAAGUCGAAUGUUAAAGAUCGGGGCUCAACCCCGCAAAGCAUUGGAAACUGAUAAACUUGAGUAGUGGAGAGGAAAGUGGAAUUCCUAGUGUAGUGGUGAAAUACGUAGAUAUUAGGAGGAAUACCAGUAGCGAAGGCGACUUUCUGGACACAAACUGACGCUGAGGUACGAAAGCGUGGGGAGCAAACAGG
rnacentral:rRNA from 1 species